GCCCACAGGAGAGCUCUUAAUGUAUCAUACUAUGAAAGCCUGCAAGUCGGUUGCAACCCUUCCGGAAGCCAUCAUAUUGCUUAUUUUUCAAACAAGGAAACCGAAGGUCAAAGAGAUUGAAUAAUGGCUCAAGGUCGCCAUUCUAGGGCUUUUGCAGAGUUGGCCUUCAAUUUUAAACUAUGGCUCUUCCUGCUAUGUGAAGCUGCGCCUUUUGUUAUUCUAGAUUUUGUUCUUACACCUUAACUUGGGAAGAUAGAGCCCUAUGUCCAGAAGGUUCUACUAGUAUGUAUUUCCAUGGUUUUGUAUUCACACUGACAACCUUUAAAAUGUUAAACUUUCUAGUGGAAUAGGGUCCGGAAGACCAGGACUCAGUACUGGCUCUCUGAUUUAAUUAGCCAUGUGAUCCGAAGCAAGCUCCUCGCCCAGCUGGCAUCCCCAUUUCUAAGAAUGAAGUUACUAAUCUUUGCCCUGCCCGCCCCACAUCUCAGGGUGUGCAGUGAGGACGAACAAGGAUAAAGUGGGUGAAAGUACUUUGCAAACGGUAAAGUAAUGCACACAUGCCACUGUGAUUUCUGCCGUGUUAAUCUCCUACUCAGGCCUUGGAACAGCUGUGUCAUGUUCUCUUCGCAGAAAGGAUGCAUAGUUGGGUAGCCAGGCUGAUAUCAUUCCACCUUUCACGAGGUUACCCUCCCGCUGACCGCUGCUCCUUUCCCAUGCAUGCUGAUGAUUUAUCUUAUAAAAGCAAAACAAUGCGUCCUGCCCACUCCCCUGCCCCUACUGCACUUGUUGCUCUGUGCUUGCCUGUUGUGUUUUUCUACAGCACACAAGGAAUGGAAACCAAAUGCAAGCAUCACCACCAAUGAACACAUGCUUACAUCUCUUGCUAGCGAUCUUUUUCCUCUCUCUCUCUGCCAGAACUCAAAGGGCACAGUUUUUCUUCUCCGAAUUUUUCUAAGCCCUAUGCAACAUGUAGCUAUGUGGUGCAGAUAGUCUGAACAUAGGAGCAAGCUGUGACUGUUCAAGUGAUUGAGCUUUUUCAAAAUUAUUAGUGAUAUCCCCAGGACCUCGCUAAAGCACACUGAAAAAUCGGCUUACCCUAAAGCUACUUUGUUUAGAAACUGUCUUUGACUUAAUCUAAACCAGGAUACAAGCCUCCCUUCUGCCAGUUGAGAGAAGUGGCUAGAGGGUAACCAGCCAACUGUCCCACUGUUAACACUGAAGGUCUCACGUCCCCGGAAACUCCUGAGUACCGAGCGAACAGGACAGUUAGACACCCCAGGAGUGGAGCCAUACCCUUCCUGCAUCUGCACCAACCUGCUGCCCCGUAUUUUUCACGGGCUCCAACCACAGUGAAUAAUUUUCACCUUUCUGUUACUUGCACAAAGCCUUUUUAGAAAAGCAUUAAAAAAAAAAAAAGAAAAAAACCCAAUAUUUUAGCUCUUUCACAAAACACUCUGUCCCCCAGUAAGCUGUGACUGAACUUGAACAGGUCACACCUCCAGAAGACAGGCCUCAGUGCUGCUGACUGCCGCCUCCGAAGCCAGUCUGGGUUCUCGCUGCAUAUUUAGUAUUCAAACCUCUUGAUAAAUGAUCGGCUGUUUUUCAUGUUUGGAGCUCUCCCUGAACAAUAAAGCAAAAACGUUUGUCAUCCAUAAAGUACAGCUGCAAGAAGUGUGUGGGAGUGAUAAUUGGAUGACACUCCAGGAAGGAGGGGGAAAUGAAAACAGCUGUUCCGAGAGGACAACGCGGUGUUGUGCGGGAGAUGAGCCCGCGGCCCAGGAGGACUGAGCCCCCUGUGCUCACUGGCCCCGGCCCACGCAGGCUGCAUGCCCCAUUUCUGCUGCCGCAGCCACUCUUGCUCCACGCCUAGUGCCAGUGAGGGGCAGGCUCCAGCUGGAUCGGGGUCUCACGGCCCCAGGCCUCACCCUGCCCUGGCCACAGCAAUGCUUUCUGCUCACUUUGGCAGCUGGAGGUAGCCUGAGGGGGAACUUCAUUUCUGUUUCCAUGAGGGCCACCAAGCUAGGAAAGGCCAAUCGCCUUUAACCCCACAAAAAGGCCCCUUUGACAAGUUCCGCUUUGAUUCACGGAGGGUUUGGUGUGCACUGCGACGGGCAGCUGUCAAGACAGGGCCUCGGGCAGAAAGACGGAGGGGAACACAGAUCACCAUGAAGGCGACACCACACAUGUUUGAUCCUCUUAGCCCUGUCCUUCCCACUCUCAGAUUUCUCUCGCACAGUGGUUGAACUUAGAGGAUUCCGCAGACAAAGACGCAUUUAUGCACACUAAGCCCUGCAGGCUCCGCUCCUCUGCUGAACCACUUCUCAAACCCAGUCCCAAAGGCUGAAAAACUAUCCCAGAAGUUUUAAGCUUUUCAUGUAACAUCCUAGACCAGCAACUUCAAGUUCAAAACUUAAAGACAGAGUCCCUACAUUUGCACAUCUCAUGUGCAAGGUAUGUGUGUGUGUGUGGUGUUAGUACAUAUAUGUAUGUGUUUAUGUGUAUGUAUGUGUGUAUCUAUAUAUAUGUAUGUGUGGUGUGCGUACGUGUGUGUAUGUAUGUGUGAAUAUGUGUGUGUGUAGAGUAUGUGUGUGUGUUGUGCAUACAUAUGUUUAUGUGUAUGUACAUGUGUGUAUGUAUGUGUGAAUAUGUGUGUGUAGAGUAUGUGUGUGGUGUGCAUACAUAUGUGUGUAUGUGUAUGUACAUGUGUGUGUAUGUGUGAAUGUGUGUGUAGAGUAUUGUGUGUGGUGUGCAUACAUAUGUGUGUAUGUGUAUGUACAUGUGUGUGUAUGUAUGUGUGAAUGUGUGUGUGUAGAGUACGUGUGUGUGGUG
rnacentral:lncRNA from 10 species